rnacentral:rRNA from 1 species
CCAAUAGCGUAUAUUAAAGUUGUUGCAGUUAAAAAGCUCGUAGUUGAAUUUCGGGGUUAGCAGGUCGGUCGUGCCAAUGGUAUGCACUGGCUCGCUGACUCCUCCUUCUUGUAGAACCGUAAUGCCAUUAAUUUGGUGUUGCGGGGAAACAGGACUGUUAAUUUGAAAACAUUAGAGUGUUUAAAGCAGGCUAGCGCCUGAAUACAUUAGCAUGGAAUAAUGAAAUAGGACGUUCGAACCUAUUUUGUUGGUUUCUAGGAUUGACGUAAUGAUUAAUAGGGAUAGUUGGGGGCAUUAGUAUUCAAUUGUCAGAGGUGAAAUUCUUGGAUUUAUUGAAGACUGACUACUGCGAAAGCAUUUGCCAAGGAUGUUUUCAUUAAUCAAGAACGAAAGUUAGGGGAUCGAAGACGAUCAGAUACCGUCGUAGUCUUAACCAUAAACUAUGCCGACUAGGGAUCGGAUGAUGUUAAUUUUUUAAUGACUCAUUCGGCGCCUUACG